rnacentral:misc_RNA from 1 species
AAGUCGUAACAAGGUUUCCGUAGGUGAACCUGCGGAAGGAUCAUUCACAAUUUGAGGUGUUUGGGUUGGAGAGGGGUGGUUGGGCUGGGGGGAGGUGGGUGCUGUGCUAGACACGGCUGCCUACCGACCCGCUGCCUGCCGUCCAGUAUCCGCCCGGCAACCAAUCGCGCUUGUCUUGUUUGUCAGAUUGUUGGUGAAACAAAAGUAUAUACAACUUUUAACAAUGGAUCUCUUGGCUCUU